rnacentral:rRNA from 1 species
GACGAACGCUGGCGGCGUGCUUAACACAUGCCAGUCGAACGGAAAGGCCCUGCUUGCAGGGUACUCGAGUGGCGAACGGGUGAGUAACACGUGGGUGAUCUGCCCUGCACUUCGGGAUAAGCCUGGGAAACUGGGUCUAAUACCGGAUAGGAGCCAUUUUUAGUGUGAUGGUUGGAAAGUUUUUUCGGUGUAGGAUGAGCUCGCGGCCUAUCAGCUUGUUGGUGGGGUAAUGGCCUACCAAGGCGGCGACGGGUAGCCGGCCUGAGAGGGUGGACGGCCACAUUGGGACUGAGAUACGGCCCAGACUCCUACGGGAGGCAUCAGUGGGGAAUAUUGCACAAUGGGCGCAAGCCUGAUGCAGCGACGCCGCGUGGGGGAUGACGGCCUUCGGGUUGGAAACUCCUUUCGCUAGGGACGAAGCUUUUUGUGACGGUACCUAGAUAAGAAGCACCGGCUAACUACGUG